UACAGAGGUCUCAAGCGUUGUUCGGAUUCAUUGGGCGUAAAGGGUGCGUAGGCGGCGCGGUAAGUCGGGUGUGAAAUCUUGGAGCUUAACUCCGAAACUGCAUUCGAUACUGCCGUGCUUGAGGACUGGAGAGGAGACUGGAAUUUAUGGUGUAGCGGUGAAAUGCGUAGAUAUCGUAAGGAAGACCAGUGGCGAAGGCGGGUCUCUGGACAGUUCCUGACGCUGAGGCACGAAGGCCAGGGGAGCAAACGGG
rnacentral:rRNA from 1 species